ensembl:lncRNA
UUCCUCGUGGAAGGUAGAUCAGUGACAUGGAAUCUGUAAAUACUUCAGCCCUGCGGUGCUGUGUUCCCAGGGAAGAAGGGGACUGAAGGGGAUCGAGACCCGGGGAUAAUAUAUCAGUCCAAUAUCUGUCAACUACGUGGUGGUUUCAUUUAUAUUCAUCAACUGAUCAUAGCUUGCGACUGGGCUUCUGAGGCUUUGUACCAGCCGGCACACAGUGACAGGCACAGGGGUUUCUGCAGAGGUCUUACUCACCUGAUGCUGCUCUGUGGAUGGUCCCUGGAAGUGCUGCUGCACCUCUGGGCAGGGCAGCAGCCCCUCCUCCACCUACUGCCAUGGCUAACUUAUGCCUGGGAAGUGGAGCCAGGCAUGAGUUACAGCUGGAGGACAGAGUUAGGAUCAUGUCUUGGUCACACACUUCCAAAGCAGAUGGGCACAGUUUAA